GAACGCUAGCGGCAGGCUUAACACAUGCAAGUCGAGGGGCAGCGCGAGGUAGCAAUACUUUGGCGGCGACCGGCGAAAGGGUGCGUAACGCGUGAGCAACUUGCCCGUAUCUGGGACAUAAGCGGUGGAAACGCCGUCUAAUUUCCCAUAACAACAGAGGCCGCAUGACUUCUGUUUGAAAGAUCCGUCGGAUACGGAUGGGCUCGCGAGACAUUAGCUAGUCGGCGUGGUAACGGCACACCGAGGCGACGAUGUCUAGGGGUUCUGAGAGGAAGGUCCCCCACACUGGAACUGAGACACGGUCCAGACUCCUACGGGAGGCAGCAGUGAGGAAUAUUGGUCAAUGGGCGCAAGCCUGAACCAGCCAUGCCGCGUGAAGGAAUAAGGCCCUAUGGGUCGUAAACUUCUUUUGUGGUGGAGCAAUAAGGUGUACGCGUACACCGAUGAGAGUACAUCACGAAUAAGCAUCGGCUAACUCCGUGCC
rnacentral:rRNA from 1 species